AGUGAACGCUGGCGGUAGGCCUAACACAUGCAAGUCGAACGGCAGCACAGUAAGAGCUUGCUCUUGCGGGUGGCGAGUGGCGGACGGGUGAGGAAUACAUCGGAAUCUACUUUUUCGUGGGGGAUAACGUAGGGAAACUUACGCUAAUACCGCAUACGACCUACGGGUGAAAGCAGGGGAUCUUCGGACCUUGCGCGAUUGAAUGAGCCGAUGUCGGAUUAGCUAGUUGGCGGGGUAAAGGCCCACCAAGGCGACGAUCCGUAGCUGGUCUGAGAGGAUGAUCAGCCACACUGGAACUGAGACACGGUCCAGACUCCUACGGGAGGCAGCAGUGGGGAAUAUUGGACAAUGGGCGCAAGCCUGAUCCAGCCAUACCGCGUGGGUGAAGAGGGCCUUCGGGUUGUAAAGCCCUUUUGUCGGGAAAGAAAAGCAGCAGGUUAAUACCCCGCUGUUCUGGCGGUACCCAAAGAAUAAGCACCGGCUAACUUCGUG
rnacentral:rRNA from 1 species